rnacentral:rRNA from 1 species
UACGUAGGGUGCAAGCGUUGUCCGGAAUUAUUGGGCGUAAAGAGCUCGAUGAGCGGUCUGUUGCGUCGGCUGUGAAAACCCGGGGCUCAACCCCGGGCCUGCAGCCGAUACGGGCAGACUAGAGUUCGGCAGGGGAGACUGGAAUUCCUGGUGUAGCGGUGAAAUGCGCAGAUAUCAGGAGGAACACCGGUGGCGAAGGCGGGUCUCUGGGCCGAUACUGACGCUGAGGAGCGAAAGCGUGGGGAGCGAACAGG